GCGUGGGUAGCCAAGCCAGGAAAAGGCGCAGCGCUUAGGACGCUGUCCCGUAGGGGUCCGAGAGUUCAAAUCUCUUCCCACGCA
rnacentral:tRNA from 1 species